GGGGGGUAUGUUUAUUUGGAUAUCAUGCAGGUUUAGUAAGCCAGCGGCCAGGGUUCGAGUCCCAGCUCAGUUUA